AAGAACUCGUUUAGUGUCAGGUUACGUAGUCAAACUCAAAUAAAAAAAUGUCAUAUGUUUUUCAUUAAAAGAGCAAAAAUAUAAUAUCAUCAUUAGUGUAAAAAAAAAUUAAAAUGGCUAUGAUAAAUUAUAUAUAUUGUGGGCUAAUUUGUGUCGGCAUUACAUUUGCUAUAUUGUCAACAAUAGGAAACUAUUGGUUUAAAGCUUCGGAUUCUUCAGAGCAUGGCGGGAUAUGGUAUUUUUGCAAAUUAAAUGGUUGCGAGAAGAGACUUAAUAAAGCAGAUUCCUUAAUUGCUACUGAAACAUUUAUGAUCAUGGGUUGCUUGAGCUAUUUUCUCGCUUUUGUAUUAAGUUUGCUAAGUUGUUCGAAGAUAUUAAAAACUCACAAAAUCUCUGCAGCUGUACUCUGUGUAACAGUAAAGUUAAACACCAGUGCUCAAUGAAAAGCAUGGAUAUACACAAAUUAAUGCCACUGGUGCACAAAUAUGUGAAACUGUUGUUUUUUCUGUCUUCAACAAUGCAAAAGAGUCUCAAUCUUUAGUGAUUCAGGAGGGUGUUGAUCAAUGCAUCAUUGUUAGUAACGAAUUGCCAUAAAACAAUAAAAAUUUAGCACAAUAUCUCUUGGUACAGAAGGUUCAAAGUUUUACCAAGUCGAUCCAAAAAUUUAAAAACAGAAAAAAGUUACCCUAAACAGUUUUAUGUAAACACAACGCUUUUGUAAAACGCUUUAGUGGUCAGACACAAUUGUAAAACGCUUUAGUAAAAAGACUAUUGAUACAGCUCUAAACGAAUCAGUGAGAUAGGACUUGAUUUAAAACAGAAAUAUUUGAACAGUUAAACAGCGCGCAGUUUUAUUAUGCAUUGUUUUCUCACUUAUUAAAAAGUUGACUUUUUAAUAAGUUAAUUUUGUUUUGAUUUGUAAGCACCUAAAAAAAG